UGGUUGAAAAUGUAUUUAUUUUUCUUCAAAUGAUCUUUUUUCAAGCAAUAAAUAAAAACAGACAUGGUUGACUCUUCUAAAAAAAAUGUACAUCCUACAGAAAUACAAGCAUAUCAAAUGUAGAAAUGACACCACUCAGAAAGAUGGGGCUAUUUACACAAGUUACAAGUAUUGCAUUGUUAUCUUACUGAAGUCCCUUGAAUGAUUUGUGAACUCUAAGGAAGGGGUGGGGCACUAGAAGGAGGACUUCAAAACAGACACAUACUUUCUCUAUCUUUCUUGCAGACAAAAUUUAAGGAAAUAACAUCAACACCCAGACACUAUAUUGAGCUCACUCACAAUGCUCCACAAAACUGGUUCUCAGAGGCCUCACAGAAACCACCUCAUCCCUCAGCUGGCUUGUGGAGA
rnacentral:lncRNA from 1 species